rnacentral:lncRNA from 12 species
CCCCCCCCCCCCCCCCCCCCCCCCCCCCCCCCCCCCCCCCCCCCCCCCCCCCCCCCCCCCCCCCCCGGGGCCGGGCCGGGCACUGAGCGCUCGCUCGCACCGGAGGCAGCGCCGCCCGCCCGUGUCCCCGGAGGUGCCGAGAGAUGGAUUUGCUCUUAUGUAAAGCUGUGCAAAAACUGGGAAAUGCUGCAUCAGAGCUUUUGAAUUUGGACAACUUCCAGUCCUGACAUCCAGAAACUCAUCCCUAUGGGUGGCAAACACAAAGAGGUAAGCUUUUUCAAGUGUCCUGGAAGAAGAGUGUGAGGAUGCAUCAUAGCUGAAUACUUAAGGCUGAUGUUGAACGUGCCAGAUUUGUCAAGCCCCAGGGUGCAGGGUUGGCUUGGCUGACACCACACACUGAGUGCAGUCCCCUGGUUUACUCGAAUUGUCUCCUUAUAUAAAAUGCACUGCCUUGCCUAGGUCGUGAGUGAGGAGGAAAGCAGAAUGCCCUGUGUCAAG